rnacentral:rRNA from 1 species
GAUGAACGCUAGCUACAGGCUUAACACAUGCAAGUCGCGGGGCAGCAUGGGGGUUGCUUGCAAUCCCCAAUGGCGACCGGCGCACGGGUGAGUAACGCGUAUCCAACCUGCCCUUCACCACGGGAUAACCCGGCGAAAGUCGGACUAAUACCGUAUGUUGUCCAUUGACGGCAUCCGAUUUGGACGAAAGGCUUGGCGGUGAGGGAUGGGGAUGCGUCCGAUUAGCCAGACGGCGGGGUAACGGCCCACCGUGGCUACGAUCGGUAGGGGUUCUGAGAGGAAGGUCCCCCACACUGGAACUGAGACACGGUCCAGACUCCUACGGGAGGCAGCAGUGAGGAAUAUUGGUCAAUGGGCGUAAGCCUGAACCAGCCAAGUAGCGUGCAGGAUGACGGCCCUAUGGGUUGUAAACUGCUUUUAUGCGGGGAUAAAGUGGCCCACGUGUGGGCUUUUGCAGGUACCGCAUGAAUAAGAACCGGCUAAUUCCGUG